rnacentral:rRNA from 1 species
UACGUAGGCAGCAAGCGUUGUUCGGAGUUACUGGGCGUAAAGGGUGCGUAGGUGGCUCUAUAAGUAUGGUGUGAAAUCUCCCGGCUUAACUGGGAGGGUGCGCCGUAGACUGUGGGGCUAGAGUGUGGGAGAGGAAAGUGGAAUUCCUGGUGUAGCGGUGAAAUGCGUAGAUAUCAGGAGGAACACCAAUGGCGAAGGCAGCUCGCUGGGACGGUACUGACGCUGAGACGCGAAAGCGUGGGGAGCAAACAGG